rnacentral:snoRNA from 14 species
GGGGUGUGCUCAGAGCAAGGGGCCUGAAGAAUGGCUCCUCUGUUUACAACACACCCAACAGGAAUCUUGGGUCAUUGUGAUGAGGUCCAUAAAACUUGUGGCCUCUUUACAAACUAAUGCCCUACACAU